rnacentral:rRNA from 1 species
GCAAGUCGAACGAGACCUUCGGGUCUAGUGGCGCACGGGUGCGUAACGCGUGGGAAUCUGCCCUUGGGUUCGGAAUAACAGUUGGAAACGACUGCUAAUACCGGAUGAUGACGUAAGUCCAAAGAUUUAUCGCCCAGGGAUGAGCCCGCGUAGGAUUAGCUAGUUGGUGAGGUAAAGGCUCACCAAGGCGACGAUCCUUAGCUGGUCUGAGAGGAUGAUCAGCCACACUGGGACUGAGACACGGCCCAGACUCCUACGGGAGGCAGCAGUGGGGAAUAUUGGACAAUGGGCGAAAGCCUGAUCCAGCAAUGCCGCGUGAGUGAUGAAGGCCUUAGGGUUGUAAAGCUCUUUUACCCGGGAUGAUAAUGACAGUACCGGGAGAAUAAGCUCCGGCUAACUCCGUGCCAGCAGCCGCGGUAAUACGGAGGGAGCUAGCGUUGUUCGGAAUUACUGGGCGUAAAGCGCACGUAGGCGGCGAUCUAAGUCAGAGGUGAAAGCCCGGGGCUCAACCCCGGAAUAGCCUUUGAGACUGGAUUGCUUGAAUCCAGGAGAGGUGAGUGGAAUUCCGAGUGUAGAGGUGAAAUUCGUAGAUAUUCGGAAGAACACCAGUGGCGAAGGCGGCUCACUGGACUGGUAUUGA